rnacentral:sRNA from 1 species
ACAUGAUCAUAUAGUUGAGGAAA